rnacentral:lncRNA from 1 species
AAAAGUCAGCGUUUUAUUUUUAUUUUAAGAGGGCUGUUAAUUACAGUACGAACUAGAGGGACCUAGACGCAAAGCUCAAGUAUAUUUAUGGCGUUGGCAAGUUAUACGGUUAUAGUAAGGGCUUCCUGGAUACAUUGUAUUCUAGAGUCCAGAGAAGGACCCCUGCGCAAGUGGCUGAAGUGCCUGAACGUGCGGAGUAUGAGCCCAUACCAUAUGCCAUGUCCAAUUAUAGAACAGUCAAGAAGCUUGCUAAAAAAAGGAAGCAAGAAAGUAGCUUACAGGAGAUAUCCUUCUGUGUUUAAUUCGCUUAGGAACGAGG